ensembl:lncRNA
UGGGAACAGCAGACUGGUAUAGGGAUUGAUUGAAUAUGUCCGUAAACACACCGGCCAGCUGGUCUGCGCAUGCUCUGAGGGCGCGGCUGGGGAUGCCGUCUGGGCCUGCAGCCUUGCGAGGGUUAACACGUUUAAAUGUCUUACUCACUUCGGCUGCAGUGAAGGAGAGACCGCAUGUUUCCGUUGCAGGCCGUGUCAGUGGCACUGCAACAACGGGGUCACCCUCCGUCUCAACCCAGACCUUACACCCCACCCACUAGGCCUCAAUGCACAGGGAACUGUGGAAACGGCCAGAGCGGUCAUAGAGACCAGAGAGCGUUGGAGAGCUCCGACUCCACAGAGAGAGAUGGUCAGGCUGUGUAGUUACAGAUGACAGUAAUAGCCAGGCUAGGGUUAUAGGCGAUCGGUACGUCCCACCUCGUCCUCUGUCUGAAUCACAGAGCUCUGUGGUCCACCAACAACAAAUGGCAGCCACCAGAACACAAGCAACACAAGAAACACGAGGAAUGGGGACACAGACUGUCACCAACAUCACCUCGAAAUGUCCAACAUGUCAUACCGAUCCCAACCACCAGAGGGCAGGCCAGUCACAGAGAUGAGUCUAUGAGACAACAGACAGACAGAGCAUUAUCAGACAGAUCCAGGAGGGAGGGAGAAGAGCACACGCCCUGGAGAAAAUCAACAGCCAGAGAGCUCAAGGCUGGACCUGGGCACCACCCAUCAAUCAUCCCUUUAAACAAGUGUCGUAACACUAACACGGAGAAUAGAGUGCAUUCAGAGACCCACUACCUCUGUACUAGACGCUCCCCUCGUCACCAAUGAUGUAAAAGUUUGUUGCAGUUUUCUUACGGACCAAGAUUCAUGAUGGUGGUAGUUUUUUUGUUAUUUUCAGUGGUAUUUUGAAAAUGGAUGUUGCUCCCUAAUGAUGUUUUUCUCUCUUCCAUCCAGACUUGAGAGGUAAGCAGCUGCAGCAUAAAGGACAGGAAGAAGAAUAAGAGGUACAGGGGAGGAGACCUUCCAGAUGAGAGAGAGAGGAGAAAAGGAGGUCACUGCUGAGAGCAUAGUUAACAGGCUUUCAGAGGAGGUUGAGACACUUCAGGAAAGAGCAGGCGUUCUGCUCAUGCUGAAGCAGAGGAAAAAGAUUAGUGAAAAGGGAAGGAGAGGAGAGAGGUGGGUAGGACAGGAGAGGAGGGGAGGUCAAAUCCCGAGGUAUCCCUUUAAGAGUUGUGAACAACACUAGCAACUACAGUACAUCCCUUUACCACAGGAUCUGUUUCUGCAUAUUUAAACAUUUAUAACAAUGCCCUUGGGAUUCUACAUUAAAACAAAAGCCAGACAUUGCAAGAUAAUCCGUUUAUUUAUUUUCCCCCGAUACAUAUUCAAGUUUCUCAUGAAUAUAUUUACUUUGAUAGAAUAUAAAUUCUAGUAAACCGUUUACAGCAACAAUAAUCAAAUGUAUACUAUACAGCGCUGGAUAAAUAUUUCUUUUAAAUCUUCACUAGCUCUUCUUCAUAACCUAGAAUAGAAACACUGCACUUAAUUUGUUUUCACAUAGAAAAAAUUGCACCCGUUCACCAUAAACACAUUGGAUGACCCCAUUUAGGAGUUAAAGCAAAGAAGGCAAUAUAAUAAUAACACGAUGGGUUGUCAAGCGGUUGUGACCGUCUUAAAAUCAAAAGUGCAUUCUAGAACCACAACACAUCAAAUAACCUGUUUGACACUAUCUCAUUUACAUGUUUGUUACAUGACGACCGUGUUGUCGCCUCUGUGACGGGGAUGUGCAAUAAAGUGUUGUUUCCCUAAAAGAAAACACUAACUAUCUGUGAUAGUAAAAGCAAAACGUUAUUCUGUCUUCCAGUGAACCUCCAGUUUAGUCCUAUUUAUAGUAUCCUCUCUUUUCUAAUCACAUUUCUAAUCAAAUACUCAAAUAUUGAUAAUAAAUACUCAAUAAUCCAAUAUUGAUACUGUUGUUCCAAUGAACUGGCAAAACACACCUAGUGAUAACUUGAAAUGCUGUCAUUUCAUUUCAGUCUAAAGAAAAUCCUAUUUGAAUUCACAAUAGUAGCUAUCUAUCUGGUUUUGUCACUGACAGUAAUACACAGACAUAUUCUCAGCGACGUUAUGUUGACCACUUUCAACGAGAGUCUGCUACACACAAAUCUUGUACUCAAGUACUCAACUAAAAAUGUGUCACCUUACAUAGUUUAGCGAUAUAUAAAAUGACAUGAGCAAGUACAGUACAGUACUCCUCGAACCUUUAGAACACGAGAACCCUGGCUCUUUCACGUGAAGAGUAAUGCAUUGCGAUUUGUACAUAAGGCUGUGGAGGAAGACACAACGUAAAAUGGAGACGAAAUAGGACAUUCUUUCUGACAUUGUUUUCCCAAAGGGCAACUAUGUGUGUAGUUAACUGACUAAACUGUCCAUUUCAAUGUAUGGGUAUUCUCUCUGAUGGUCUGAGUAACCCAAUGAAUAGUCUAGUCAACAUUUAUCAAUAAAAACAUUUGUGCAACUUCUGAAAUAAAAUUGAAAAAGGCUAUCAUCACGACUCCUUCAUACAUUUCACUUCAGUACAGGCACCGG